GACGAACGCUGGCGGCGUGCUUAACACAUGCAAGUCGAACGGAAAGGCCCUGCUUUUGUGGGGUGCUCGAGUGGCGAACGGGUGAGUAACACGUGAGUAACCUGCCCUUGACUUUGGGAUAACUUCAGGAAACUGGGGCUAAUACCGGAUAGGAGCUCCUGCUGCAUGGUGGGGGUUGGAAAGUUUCGGCGGUUGGGGAUGGACUCGCGGCUUAUCAGCUUGUUGGUGGGGUAGUGGCUUACCAAGGCUUUGACGGGUAGCCGGCCUGAGAGGGUGACAGGCCACAUUGGGACUGGGAUACGGCCCAGACUGCUACGGGAGGCAGCAGUGGGGAAUAUUGCACAAUGGGCGGAAGCCGGAUGCAGCAACGCCGCGUGCGGGAUGACGGCCUUCGGGUUGUAAACCGCUUUCGCCUGUGACGAAGCGUGAGUGACGGUAAUGGGUAAAGAAGCACCGGCUAACUACGUG
rnacentral:rRNA from 1 species